GAUUACUCACUUCUGUUUUGAAAACAGAAAAAGAGCUAUCUAGUAAUCU
rnacentral:tRNA from 1 species